UACAGAGGUCCCAAGCGUUGUUCGGAUUCAUUGGGCGUAAAGGGUGCGUAGGUGGCGUCGUAAGUCGGGUGUGAAAUCUCGGGGCUUAACUCCGAAACUGCAUUCGAUACUGCGGUGCUUGAGGACUGGAGAGGAGACUGGAAUUUACGGUGUAGCAGUGAAAUGCGUAGAUAUCGUAAGGAAGACCAGUGGCGAAGGCGGGUCUCUGGACAGUUCCUGACGCUGAGGCACGAAGGUCAGGGGAGCAAACGGG
rnacentral:rRNA from 1 species